rnacentral:rRNA from 1 species
UGAACGCUGGCGGCAGGCCUAACACAUGCACGUCGAACGGUAACAGGAAGAAGCUUGCUUCUUUGCUGACGAGUGGCGGACGGGUGAGUAAUGUCUGGGAAACUGCCUGAUGGAGGGGGAUAACUACUGGAAACGGUAGCUAAUACCGCAUAACGUCGCAAGACCAAAAAGGGGGACCUUCGGGCCUCUUGCCAUCGGAUGUGCCCAGAUGGGAUUAGCUAGUAGGUGGGGUAACGGCUCACCUAGGCGACGAUCCCUAGCUGGUCUGAGAGGAUGACCAGCCACACUGGAACUGAGACACGGUUCAGACUCCUACGGGAGGCAGCAGUGGGGAAUAUUGCACAAUGGGCGCAAGCCUGAUGCAGCCAUGCCGCGUGUAUGAAGAAGGCCUUCGGGUUGUAAAGUACUUUCAGCGGGGAGGAAGGGAGUAAAGUUAAUACCUUUGCUCAUUGACGUUACCCGCAGAAGAAGCACCGGCUAACUCCGUG